GACGAACGCUGGCGGCGUGCUUAACACAUGCAAGUGGAGCGACGAACCGGGGCUUGCCCCGGGGGCAGAGCCGCGAACGGGUGAGUAACACGUGGGUUACCUGCCCUGAUGACCGGGACAACCCGUCGAAAGACGGGCUAAUACCGGAUGUGCCCGCAAGGGGAAAGGAGGCGUAAGCUUCCGCAUCGGGAUGGGCCCGCGGAGCAUUAGCUUGUUGGUGGGGUAAAAGCUCACCAAGGCUUCGAUGCUAGCUGGUCUGAGAGGACGAUCAGCCACACUGGGACUGAGACACGGCCCAGACUCCUACGGGAGGCAGCCGUGGGGAAUCUUGCGCAAUGCGCGAAAGCGUGACGCAGCAACGCCGCGUGCGGGAAGACGGCC
rnacentral:rRNA from 1 species